GGCUUCGUUACCGAUCAAUUAUCGCUAGUAAUUACAUGUGAACAAUGGUUUAAUUUGAUGACAAAAUCGCGAAUGUUCUUUUGUAUUUUUAUGAUAUAUCACUUGUAGAAAUAACAAAAACAUUGUUACUCAUUUAUCAAUUUGAAUUUAUUAAGAAACGAAUCUUCAAAAAUCCUUUACGUCAUAGAUCAUUGUAGUCGCGAACUGUAUUGCGUUAUAUAGAAUGUCACACAACACAUCACGCAAUCCAAACAUGCAAUUCCGGUCUUGAAAUUUAAUAAGAUAUGGGUUUCGUAAGUUUUUGACUUGCUUGUUUUCAGUUCUUAUUUCACACGAAUUUAUUUUGAAUAUUUAAAAAUAUUAUAUACAAUAUUUAAACACGAAGGCGCGGUAUAAAAGGGUGCUUCCAUUGGAAGCAUCGGCUCAUUCGUCAAUCAACCGCCGUGGAGUGAGGAUCAAAUUCAAGAUGGCGGCCCGAGUCAAGUACAAAACACAGAGGGGAGAGGUUUCAAAGCGCUUCCUGGUGUAUAAAAAUGCCAACUCUACCUUCUAGUCCGAUAGAAUGUGUAAAAAAAAGAAAUUCAGUUGAACUAAAGCUACGAAACCAACGUGAUUUAUGCAAAAAAGGAGCAAACGCAUGAUCGGAAAACAACGAUUCCAAACCUCGACAAAAGCUAUACCCAAGAAGCAAGUCAUGGUGACAUCUGAAUAAUCAACAAAUAGAAUCAAAAAGCCCAAACUGUCGCGAUCUCGUAC